UGAGUAUUUUCCCGAACAUAUAAUGGUUGAAACUCGAAACUUGAAAACUUGAAAGUGAGAGAGUUGAAGGAACAAAACGUGUGUCUUACAAGAUUUCAGUAGUGACUAUGGAGCAGAGCAUUGGUGAACGCAGGUUAGCAUACGAUGAAUGUUUCUACGCAAGGACUGCUUAUCCUCAACGCUCGCUUCUCUUCCAAUUUCUCCUUCCGAGGUGCUCUUUAGUCACAACCGUUGGUUUCUCAGGUUGUCGGUUUUUCCACCUUCGCAACAGUGUGAAGGGCCGAGAAGGGGUUUCUCUAAAAACAUGUCUUGCAGUGUCAGUGUGGAUAAUUCUGAUAUGGUUCAUCCAGCCACAGAUGCUUAUGCUGGAGAGGCAGUUGAAGCUUUGAAAGCUGGGAAACAGUGGUGGCUGUGGGUUUACUGUCUUGUUUUUCAAUUGUACAUGUUUGAAAAUUAAAAGUCAAGCUACAAGAUAACAUUGACCGAUAAACAGAAUCUUUCUUCUUGUAUAAAACACCAUAGUAUAGUGUUGAGUAAGAAUGAUGUUGUAACUGCACCACUACACUAGUGAAAUUUCAAUGAGUUUCAGUAUUUAUAUUUUAUAAGUCUAGAGAUUGUCAAGCCUCUCUUGUGCAGAGCGUUGUGUGGCCGCUUGCUGUUGGUUCUAUUUGAUUCGAAGUGGACUAUAUAACUGUUAUAGCCUUUACCAUUUAUUUUGUUUUAAUUUGUGGGCCUAAUAUUCAGUUAUUCAAAAUAUUUCCCAGCAAAAUAGUGUGUAAUUAUAAAAAAGAGUCGAUAAAGUUUAUCUUCAAAGACUGUUUAUUGCAGUCCUCCAUGAAAGAAAGCAGAUAAAUAAUUGCUUUAUGAUAUAUCAUAUCACAUAGGUUUUGAUAAGAUAUCAAUUUUUCUACAUAGACAUCAGAUGUGAGAAAAGUUAGCUCCACACUAUACCCAUCCUUCUGAAUGCCCACAUUAUACCCACAUAGAAAUAAGUUGUGUUUUAAUCAAAGAUGUUUAAAAUUUCGUUCGCACUCCAGUCUCCACAUAUUUAGACCUACCUUGUGUCUCUCCCAAUUGCAUACCGAAUGAUUGAUGAUUACCUGUUACCUUCUUUGUGGCAUGUUGGCAGCUCAUUGGAAGCAGUUAACAGAAUUUACGAGAUUAAAGGCCGUAGACAUACAAGCCCUCUGGCUAUUUGUGUUGGUGAUGUAUCAGAUAUAGCCCGUUUUGCUGUCACUGACCAUUUACCUCAUGGUCUGCUUGAUUGCCUCCUACCUGGGCCUGUUAUAGUUGUACUAAAACGUGGAGUCAAGUAUUCUUGAACGAUCUUUGAACCCAGGAUUUGAUAGUAUAGGAGUUAGAGUGCCUGAUUGCAAUUUCAUCAGGAUCAUUGCCUGUGGUUCAGGAACUGCCCUAGCCCUUACCAGUGCAAACCUAAGUGGCCAGUCAAGUACUCUUUCCAUCAAAGAUUUUGAGAACCUCUGGGAACAUUGCUUUUGUUUAUGAUGGUGGUUUGAUUCCAUCAAGUCUCGCAGGUUCAACGGUUGUGGACCUCACCACACCACACAAAUACAAAAUACUUAGACCUGGAAGUGCAAAGGAAGAGACAGUUGCCAUCUUGGAGAAGCAUUCUUUGGUUGAGGCAGAGACCUCUUAAACAAGUUGUGAUUCAUUUGCAGUGUCACAUUCUAGCUAGGCCUAAUGUUUCACUUGCAAAAGAACAAUUCUUUCGCUUGGACAUGUGAUGUGAGAAGCUAUCACCCAGGCUAAUUAUUUCCAUUGACUGUUUACAUGUUACUUCCCAGAGGAUCUCUAGGAUGCAUGAAACAAUGCGUUAAUGGUCCUUGUGCUUCAAUUAAGCUAUUCUAUUUUAUUUCCAUUAAAGCAUUAGCAUGGCAAUACAUUCAUAUAAAACUUC